ACUCAAAGGAAUUGACGGGGACUCGCACAAGCGGUGGAUUAUGUGGCUCAAUUCGUCGACAAACGAAGAACCUUACCAAGGUUAGAAAUCCAGCUGCAUUCCUUAUGAAAAUUUGGAAGCCUUCGAGGGUGCUGGACAGGUGAUGCAUGGUCGUCGUCAGUUCGUGGUUUGAACUGUUCCCUUCAGUGGGGUAACGAACGCAACCCCCGUUGCCUGUUGCCUAUAUGGUCAGGCGAGACUGCUCCCUCACGGGAGAGGAAGGUGGGGAUGACGCCAGAUCAGCAUGUCCCUCUGAUACCUUGGGCUGCACACAUAAUACAAUCGUCGAUACAAAGGGAUGCAAGACCGCAAGGUGGAGCAAAUCCCCAAAAUCGACGUCAGUACGGAUAGAGGUCUGCAACCGACCUCUUGAAGCUGGAAUCGCUAGUAAUCCUGGGUCAGCUAAACCAGGGUGAAUACGUUCUCGAGUCUUGUACACACCGCCCGU
rnacentral:rRNA from 1 species